CUGACGGUAGUCGUAUGCUCGUCUCCGAGACUAAGCCAUGCAAGUCCAAGUACACGUCCUUGAACGACGGAAACUGCGAACGGCUCAUUAAAUCAGUUGCGAUCUACUCGGCGUUCCGCGCCGCCGGAUAACCGUAGUAAUUCUAGGGCUAAUACGUGCGAAGCGCCCGAAGCCGCGAGGCGACGGGCGUUCUCGCCGGAUGUAGGAACCGACCCGGGGACCGCCGGGGCAACCCGGCGCCCCCGAGACGGGGCGAACCACGGUGAAAUGACGGAUCGUCGGCCCCGCGCCGGCGACUCGCCGAAUGAGUUUCUGACCUAUCAACUCGAGACGGCGGGGUAGAGGCCCGCCGCGGUAACGACGGGUAACGGGGAAUCAGGGUUCGAUUCCGGAGAGGGAGCCCGAGAAACGGCU
rnacentral:rRNA from 1 species